UUUUUACUGCCCCAGUGCCACUCAACUCUCAGCAUGAUGCCUCACACCUUAGUAUGGGCAGGGUGCCCUCUUAGUCUGGCCCCUUACCUUUGACCAUCCGGCAUGAGCGACCCUACCAGUAGCAAAGCUACUGCUGGCAUAGCUCUUAGAAUUUUCGGAACAUGCAAGCUCCCUCACCCCUACAAGGUGGAAACACCAUCGAGAGAGCUAUUUGAACUUAAUAAAGAUACAGAAGACAUCACAGCUGAUAUUUGUUUUCAUUUUGUCUUAUUAUUCAAAUUGUUGAUAUUAUUCAAAUUGUUGGCUCUUGUAAAUUAAAAGUUUUUAGCAAUAGCUACUAUCAUCAUUCCAGAUUUCAACCUACCCAAAAUUUUAAUUUUCUCUUCAAGCAGUACUUUUCUGAUCACCUUCAACUUAGGCAUUCUUUUAUUUCAGUAUUUGUGGC
rnacentral:lncRNA from 1 species